rnacentral:rRNA from 1 species
UACGAAGGGGGCUAGCGUUGUUCGGAAUUACUGGGCGUAAAGGGCGCGUAGGCGGCUUUGUAAGUUAGAGGUGAAAGCCCAGGGCUUAACCCUGGAAUUGCCUUUAAGACUGCAUCGCUCGAAUUGUGGAGAGGUGAGUGGAAUUCCGAGUGUAGAGGUGAAAUUCGUAGAUAUUCGGAAGAACACCAGUGGCGAAGGCGACUCACUGGACACAUAUUGACGCUGAGGUGCGAAAGCGUGGGGAGCAAACAGG